CGCCCGGUUCCCGAGGAAAGCAGAAAUAACAGGAUGCUCGACAUUCGGCCACUAAACGUCUGCGCAGUCUAUGCUCAUUGAUUGGAUGACCAAAGAGGCGUGAGACAUGGCACGGAUAGGAUAAGAAAGGUGCGGAGCUGAAAGUUUGCGAGUGAAAGGACUCGGCGGGGAACAGAGGAAGGGCCAAAGCGUGCUGACUGCUCCAGAACUGGUUAACGUUGCAGAAAAGCAACUGAGGGAAUUUACCACAGACGCCUCAAUAGAUUGCAAGAACGUCUGCAGCGUUCACUGCAAAUAAAUACGACUGGCGUCGCCGUCUAUUUCCACGUCUCCGAACCAAACCGGAUUUCCGUUUGAAACACUGGACCACGUCUCUGCUCUUGAGUGUGUAUUGGGGGCCUCGGUUUUCGAAGCAGCGAAACGGCGAAACAUUCGCAGUCUACCGGGCGAUCGCGUGCAUUCCAGACUGCAACAAUUCUCCGGGUACAAAAGCAAUUCUUGUCGUCUCCGCUGUGGUUCUGUUGGCAAUUAUCAUCAUAAUAUCAAAAUCAUUUACUCUAUGAAGUCCUCUAAUAAUUGGAAGAGAGUGAUUGGGCA